rnacentral:rRNA from 1 species
GAUGGACGCUGGCGGCGUGCCUAAUACAUGCAAGUCGAGCGAACGGACGAGAAGCUUGCUUCUCUGAUGUUAGCGGCGGACGGGUGAGUAACACGUGGAUAACCUACCUAUAAGACUGGGAUAACUUCGGGAAACCGUAGCUAAUACCGGAUAAUAUUUUGAACCGCAUGGUUCAAAAGUGAAAGACGGUCUUGCUGUCACUUAUAGAUGGAUCCGCGCUGCAUUAGCUAGUUGGUAAGGUAACGGCUUACCAAGGCAACGAUGCAUAGCCGACCUGAGAGGGUGAUCGGCCACACUGGAACUGAGACACGGUCCAGACUCCUACGGGAGGCAGCAGUAGGGAAUCUUCCGCAAUGGGCGAAAGCCUGACGGAGCAACGCCGCGUGAGUGAUGAAGGUCUUCGGAUCGUAAAACUCUGUUAUUAGGGAAGAACAUAUGUGUAAGUAACUGUGCACAUCCUGACGGUACCUAAUCAGAAAGCCACGGCUAACUACGUG